GCUUACCUCCAAACUAAAUGUGAUUUCACCACAAAUCAGAUUAAGCCGUAGAUACUAACCGCACAGACUACAUUUCUCUAGCGUCGACAGUAUCAUCCACCCUCUAAAAAAGGGCACAACAACACCAAUUACAAACUUCAAAACUGACCAUUGUACCUAAAAACAACUCUUGCAUUCUCUACCAAAAGGAAUAGUUUCUGUGACUUUACCAUCUUUUACAGUCAAAUUGGCCUGUUCCAUCAUCAAGAGUGAAUCUAACUCGUGUGACUUUUGAACCAUCUUUGUCACACAUUAAUCCCACAAGUGAGACCUG